CCCUUUGGGGUGUGACUGCGUACCUUUUGUAUAAUGGGUCAGCGACUUAUAUUCUGUAGCAAGGUUAACCGUAUAGGGGAGCCGGAGGGAAACCGAGUCUUAAUUGGGCGUUAAGUUGCAGGGUAUAGACCCGAAACCCGGUGAUCUAGCCAUGGGCAGGUUGAAGGUUGGGUAACACUAACUGGAGGACCGAACCGACUAAUGUUGAAAAAUUAGCGGAUGACCUGUGGCUGGGGGUGAAAGGCCAAUCAAACCGGGAGAUAGCUGGUUCUCCCCGAAAGCUAUUUAGGUAGCGCCUCGUGAAUUCAUCUCCGGGGGUAGAGCACUGUUUCGGCUAGGGGGCCAUCCCGGCUUACCAACCCGAUGCAAACUGCGAAUACCGGAGAAUGUUAUCACGGGAGACACACGGCGGGUGCUAACGUCCGUCGUGAAGAGGGAAACAACCCAGACCGCCAGCUAAGGUCCCAAAGUCAUGGUUAAGUGGGAAACGAUGUGGGAAGGCCCAGACAGCCAGGAUGUUGGCUUAGAAGCAGCCAUCAUUUAAAGAAAGCGUAAUAGCUCACUGGUCGAGUCGGCCUGCGCGGAAGAUGUAACGGGGCUAAACCAUGCACCGAAGCUGCGGCAGCGACACUCAGGUGUUGUUGGGUAGGGGAGCGUUCUGUAAGCCUGUGAAGGUGGCCUGUGAGGGUUGCUGGAGGUAUCAGAAGUGCGAAUGCUGACAUAAGUAACGAUAAAGCGGGUGAAAAGCCCGCUCGCCGGAAGACCAAGGGUUCCUGUCCAACGUUAAUCGGGGCAGGGUGAGUCGACCCCUAAGGCGAGGCCGAAAGGCGUAGUCGAUGGGAAACGGGUUAAUAUUCCCGUACUUGGUGUUACUGCGAAGGGGGGACGGAGAAGGCUAUGUUGGCCGGGCGACGGUUGUCCCGGUUUAAGCGUAUAGGUGUGUGUUCCAGGUAAAUCCGGUUCACUUUAACACUGAGGCGUGAUGACGAGGCGCUACGGUGCUGAAGCAACAAAUGCCCUGCUUCCAGGAAAAGCCUCUAAGCAUCAGGUAACAUCAAAUCGUACCCCAAACCGACACAGGUGGUCAGGUAGAGAAUACCAAGGCGCUUGAGAGAACUCGGGUGAAGGAACUAGGCAAAAUGGUGCCGUAACUUCGGGAGAAGGCACGCUGACAUGUAGGUGAAGUGAUUUACUCA
rnacentral:rRNA from 1 species